rnacentral:rRNA from 1 species
AUUGAACGCUGGCGGCAGGCCUAACACAUGCAAGUCGAGCGGAUGAUGGGAGCUUGCUCCUGGAUUCAGCGGCGGACGGGUGAGUAAUGCCUAGGAAUCUGCCUGGUAGUGGGGGACAACGUUUCGAAAGGAACGCUAAUACCGCAUACGUCCUACGGGAGAAAGCAGGGGACAUUCGGGCCUUGCGCUAUCAGAUGAGCCUAGGUCGGAUUAGCUUGUUGGUGAGGUAAUGGCUCACGAAGGCGACGAUCCGUAACUGGUCUGAGAGGAUGAUCAGUCACACUGGAACGGAGACACGGUCCAGACUCCUACGGGAGGCAGCAGUGGGGAAUAUUGGACAAUGGGCGAAAGCCUGAUCCAGCCAUGCCGCGUGUGUGAAGAAGGUCUUCGGAUUGUAAAGCACUUUAAGUUGGGAGGAAGGGUUGUAGAUUAAUACUCUGCAAUUUUGACGUUACCGACAGAAUAAGCACCGGCUAACUCUGUGCCAGCAGCCGCGGUAACAC